AGCUGAAAUUGUACCUAUCUGAAGAACUUUAGAAUAUAAAUCUGAAACAUUGGCCAUCCUAAAGCCCAAUCUCUCAAUUAUCGCUUGGUUGCUACAGAUUGAUCUGUGACUUGUUUACAGGAUCUAUGCCAAAAGCAAAUAAACCAUUACUUGGCAAAGAUGGGCUUAACCAUGAACAAGAGAACUUUUUCCUUAUUUGAUUUGUAUCCAUAUCAAAACAUCCUAAUUCCAUUCCAGGGAAAAAUGUAUCAGUUGGAAAAUCACAACUCUGCCAAACAAUUAUUUCUUCCUGAAUCAGAAUUAGAUUUUCUAAUUCAAGAAGUCUUACACUAGUAUUACUUGGUCUAGUUGUGUUACUCCUUUUGCAAUUCAGCAAGGUAUGCAUUAAAUCUUAUUUGCUAUCAGCAUCAAUUUUUACCUCCUUUUUUUAUAUAAUUCUUAAGUUUUUCUCAGUUGAUAUGUAUUUGUAAUUCUGGUGCCUGAAGCUUGAUAAAAUUUUAUAUUUGGCUUAAUUAUUUUGUUCCUGUGAAAUGAUUUAAAUCUUAUAGUGGUUUCUUUUUCUUCUUGUUAACAUACUAAACAUACUUAGUCUUGUUGGUUACUGCUUUUAUUUAACUUGGUUGCUUGAUUUGGUUGUUGACUCGUGUAGUUUAUCCUCAAUUUAAUCUCAAAGUUCUGAAAUUUCUGGAUUAUGGCAUUUAUUAUUUCUGUAUUUGAUUGAUUGUUGAUUCUUUUAUGCUUUAGUCCAUUGCUACAAAGUAAUGAUAAGGAAAUAAAGCUUUUAUAUUUGGGUUAAGAAUCUAUUUGUUAAGUUCUUUUUGCUGUAUUUUAUAUUUUGCCCCACCUGUGUCUCUGUAGAAUUUGGUUUUGUACAUAAUUACUUUGGAUGUUUCUUCUCAUUGCCAAUGGUAAUCUCUUCAAUGAGAUGGGGUGUCGCAGCUAGGAGGAAAACAGUGUUUUGUAGCCAUCCAUGACUUGCAUUAUUAAAGUCUAAACCUUCUUGAUUCAUCUAAGUAUUGUAUUAUUGUUGGACUGAUGUUACAAUCUGGCAGGUGACAACAACUAUGCUUUUAUUUGUGUUGUCCGGUCCAUUAAAAGCUUUAACAUAUCUGUUAACGCAUGGUAUAGUUGGUUUCAUGAUGGGCUUUAUGUGGAGGUUCUCCUAAGAGGUCCAAAGAAUGCUCGUGAAACUAUGAAAAACAUUGGCCCAGCUUUUGGUGUGCCACACAGCCAUUCCAAACCACAUGUGCGAUCAAAGGGAAGGAAGUUUGAGAGAGUUAGAGGGACAAGGAAUAGCAAAGGAUUUAGAGUUUGAGUUGUUUUUAGUUCCAAAAUGUCAAUCAAUUAUUUUAUUUUUGAUUAUUAUGUCCCAAAUUUCGUUAGACUCUAGGUUCCAAUGGAACUUGUUUAUGUUAUUAUUAAUUCCUAGCUUGAACUUUUUAUGUUAUUUUCCCUUGGGCUUAUUAAUUACUAACUUAAAUUGUUUAUGUUA